AACGAACGCUGGCGGCAGGCCUAACACAUGCAAGUCGAGCGAACCCUUCGGGGUUAGCGGCGGACGGGUUAGUAACGCGUGGGAAUAUACCCUUUGGUACGGAAUAGCCUCGGGAAACUGAGAGUAAUACCGUAUGUGCCCUUGGGGAAAGAUUUAUCGCCAAAGGAUUAGCCCGCGUUGGAUUAGAUAGUUGGUGGGGUAAUGGCCUACCAAGCCGACGAUCCAUAGCUGGUUUGAGAGGAUGAUCAGCAACACUGGGACUGAGACACGGCCCAGACUCCUACGGGAGGCAGCAGUGGGGAAUCUUAGACAAUGGGGGAAACCCUGAUCUAGCCAUGCCGCGUGGACGAUGAAGGCCUUAGGGUUGUAAAGUCCUUUCAGCUGGGAAGAUAAAUGACGGUACCAGCAGAAGAAGCCCCGGCUAACUCCGUG
rnacentral:rRNA from 1 species